UUCCAGCUGAAGACAUGACAUGGUCCGAGAAGGAACAGCACAAGUGACCUGCCUUGCUGUGCCUCCUCCCACGCUGAACUGCCCGAAGUUCUACCCCUGCUCACACCAGACCCUAAGUGCAUCUCGAAGAGCAAUCUGAACAUGAGUCAAGAGUGGAAUGAUCAGGUAAUGAAGCUGCUUGAGUGCAAGGAGGUGUAAAACCACCAUGAUCCUUAGGGGACAUAUUGCCAUCAGGGCCAGUUUAAAGUAAGAAAGUCCAAGGACCACAGCUCUGGCUCCUAAUUGUGAGAAACCAGACUUAAAAGAUCACUUAAAAAUCAUACUAAAAAACCACUUAAGGUUCAAAGUGAAUCCUGUUUGGACCAGCUGUGUGCCAACCUUUAUUAAGGGCCUGACCUGCCCCCAGAGAGCCUGCAGUCAAAGCAGGCAAGAUGAGAGGGGAGGGGUGAGAGAGGUAAAGCCAACAGCAGCUCUGGGGCCAAGCUGAGCUCUUCCACCAGCUCUGCCCACUGCAUCCAGGAGUCUAUUUCCUUGAGAAUGGAAAAGGGACUCCAUGGGAUUUGUGGUGAGAGGUCCUGAGUCAGGUCCCAACCAAACCCUGAGGUACUGGGCAUGCAGGCUUUUCCUGAAGAUACUGGAGGGGACCCAGAUUUCUUUUGUCCCAGAUUUAGUAUCACUUAUGGAACUCUGACACACAAAUGUUGCAAUGUAACCUGCAAUGGCCAGAGCUGUCCCUGUAGCAUUUCCAUGUGUCUGGUGCAGAAAAGGCCACUUUUUAAGGAAAGCCCAGUCUUAGCAAGGGCCUGAUUGCUCUUGCCAGGCUUCUCUGAGAGGCUGAAGUCAUUAGGCAAUGCUGCCAGGCAUCCCAGUUCAUGUCACCUUGCAGGCUGUCCUCCCUUUUCCCAGACCCUGCUGGCUGGUUUCCCAACCCUGGGGUUCUUCCAAGCCCCCUGAUUCUGUGCCCUGAGCUUUUCCAAGCACAAACACCUCACCCUGCAGCUGCCUGAUGCAAUGAGCUUUCAGGUUACAUCAGCAGUGCCCAUGUGCAAGGUGAGUGUGGGAGCUGGGGGGGUGAUGAUGGGUGACUGCCCAGCUCCUUGCAGGGCAUUGGAUUCUGCCAUAGCUCUUUACAAACCCUGUUUUCUCAUCAGGGAUACAUCUACAGGAGGGCAGGAUUCGAGUUUGCUUCCUUUCCUCCUCCCAGAAGGUAUUGCCAACAGUUGUGUGCAGUGCUCUCUGAGGCAGUGGCAAGAUGUUCCCUGUGCACACUUUUGC